rnacentral:rRNA from 1 species
CACGUAGGGGGCAAGCGUUGUCCGGAUUUAUUGGGCGUAAAGAGCGUGUAGGCGGCCAGGUAGGUCUGCUGUGAAAACUCGAGGCUUAACCUCGAGAUGUCGGUGGAAACCAUCUGGCUAGAGUCCGGAAGAGGAGAGUGGAAUUCCUGGUGUAGCGGUGAAAUGCGCAGAUAUCAGGAAGAACACCCGUGGCGAAGGCGGCUCUCUGGGACGGUACUGACGCUGAGACGCGAAAGCGUGGGGAGCGAACAGG